rnacentral:rRNA from 1 species
GAUGAACGCUGGCGGCGUGCUUAACACAUGCAAGUCGAACGAAGCACUUUAUUUGAUUUCCUUCGGGACUGAUUAUUUUGUGACUGAGUGGCGGACGGGUGAGUAACGCGUGGGUAACCUGCCUUGUACGGGGGGAUAACAGUUGGAAACGGCUGCUAAUACCGCAUAAGCGCACGGCAUCGCAUGAUGCAGUGUGAAAAACUCCGGUGGUAUAAGAUGGACCCGCGUUGGAUUAGCUAGUUGGUGAGGUAACGGCCCACCAAGGCGACGAUCCAUAGCCGACCUGAGAGGGUGACCGGCCACAUUGGGACUGAGACACGGCCCAAACUCCUACGGGAGGCAGCAGUGGGGAAUAUUGCACAAUGGGCGAAAGCCUGAUGCAGCGACGCCGCGUGAGCGAAGAAGUAUUUCGGUAUGUAAAGCUCUAUAAGCAGGGAAGAUAAUGACGGUACCUGACUAAGAAGCACCGGCUAAAUACGUG